GACAGAGGGUGCUAGCGUUGUUCGGAAUUACUGGGCGUAAAGGGCGCGUAGGCGGCUCGUUUAGUCGGGUGUGAAAUCCCAAGGCUCAACCUUGGAACUGCAUUCGAUACUGGCGGGCUAGAGACCGGAAGAGGUGGGUGGAAUACCCAGUGUAGAGGUGAAAUUCGUAGAUAUUGGGUGGAACACCGGUGGCGAAGGCGGCACUCUGGGACGGUACUGACGCUGAGACGCGAAAGCGUGGGGAGCGAACAGG
rnacentral:rRNA from 1 species